rnacentral:rRNA from 1 species
GACGUAGGGUGCAAGCGUUGUCCGGAUUUAUUGGGCGUAAAGAGCGUGUAGGCGGCCUGACAGGUCUGCUGUGAAAACUCGAGGCUCAACCUCGAGAUGUCGGCGGAAACCGUCUGGCUAGAGUCCGGAAGAGGAGAGUGGAAUUCCUGGUGUAGCGGUGAAAUGCGCAGAUAUCAGGAAGAACACCAGUGGCGAAGGCGACUUACUGGACUGUAACUGACGCUGAGGCAUGAAAGCGUGGGGAGCAAACAGG